UCCUCGACCUCUAGAAAAAAACUCCUACCCUCGACCAGAUCUGAUCAUCCGCCGGCCGCCCUCCACCCAACCAUUGCCGCCGUCGCGCCCCACCACCACAGCCCUGCCGUCGGCCACCACCCCGACCACCGCCGCUGUCGCCCCAACCACCCCACAACAGCGCCAGCAAGCACCGCCGCCCCCAACCAUCCCAUUGCCGCCGGCCGUCCUCAACCCAGCCGCAGCCGUCGUCGGCCCCCACCACUGCAGCCCCGCCGUUGGCCCCUACCACACCACCGCCCAUGACUGCCCUCCACCCGACCACUGCGGUCGUCGCCCCGAACCACCCCACAGUAGCACCGCCGAGCACCCAACUGACACGGACAACCACUGCCGAUGAGCCACUCCACCGGCGACCACCCUCCUCCGCCGAACGCCUUCCCUCGUCACCGCCCUAUUUCGCGAGCUUCCUCCCCCGAGUAGGACUCCUCCCUAAGCCGAUGGAGCCAGGAGUUCUUUGAAUGGGAUUGGUGAAUGCAAUAGUGUUGGUGUGUGGAUUUAUUAUCUUCUUAUGAGAGAAGAACAAGCAGGCAAGUCGAAUCAGUGGUGGUUCCGUUGGUUGCUUUGAUGUAAUAUUUGUAUUAUCUGUAGGUGAGGGUUCUGAUUUAAUCCUUUUGAACCUCAAAGAGGCUGUUAGCCUAAAUAAAUCUUUGCUCCAGUGAGCUUUACGAAAUGAAUUCACUACUACUCGAAGUUUUGUGUAUGGAAGGGAGAUUGGAUAUCGGCUCACUGUGUACUAACCAAAACAUAUUUGGAAGUGGACAAGUCCAUGGCAAAAGCAGGAAUACGACCACAAGCAAGCUGAGGAGGUAAUAUUCAUGUUUCUCUUGGCUAUUAGCUGAGGAGGUAAUUUCAUGUUUCUCUUGGCUAUUAGCUGAGGAGGUCUAAGUGGGUCAUUCUUUUUCUUGAUUGAGGUCUAUUUUUGCAUCUACUGCUCUCAACGGCGGACCCAUUAAUCAUCUACUAGGCAGUAAGCACCUCCUUGAUGCGUGCCUGGAGAAGAACGAAGCGACUCCUCAGCGAGCGACCAAACUCAGAUUUCGUUGUUUGACCGGCGACCACCGACACCUGAGUGUGGGACUGUGGGGGUGGGGGCGUGGUGCACCGGCGGACUGGACGGCGGCCGCUGUGGCUUGCCGGCAUGGGGGUGGCUGCUGGCGGGCAGCCGACUAGGCUAGGGAUUGGUGGUCAGGGGCUCCCUCCGGUUCUGCAGUCCUGACCUCGUCUCGUCGCCACGCGCAGUGCUGCAUUGAGAUGCUUCGCCCCUCCUCAGAUUUCCUUCAAGCUCCGCCACUGACUGCUCUACGUUCUCCAGAGAUAAUGGUUUUGCAAAUGUAUGCAAGUUCACGGAUGUUUGGAAGGACCUUCAAGCUGUUGAAGAUUUGAAAUACCUACAAUUAAGUUGAUGGAGUGAUAAUGUCAUAUACCUUAUUUGUUGACCUGGAGACUUGCUCUGCUCAUUUUGGUUGUGGCAAAUUUAGAAAUUUAUGUACUACUUUUGUGGUACUACAUUUUGGUAGUGUGAUACAUCUAGAAACAUAUAUGUACUUCUCAUUUUGUGGAACAACCUCCUUAUAUAUGGAAGCUUAUAUGUACUUCUUUU